AUUGAACGCUGGCGGCAUGCUUUACACAUGCAAGUCGAACGGUAGGGUAGCAAUACCUGAGAGUGGCGAACGGGUGAGUAAUGCAUCGGAACAUGCCUAUUAGUGGGGGAUAGCCCGGCGAAAGCCGGAUUAAUACCGCAUACGAUCUAUGGAUGAAAGCUGGGGACCGCAAGGCCUGGCGCUAAUAGAGUGGCCGAUGUCAGAUUAGCUAGUUGGUGGGGUAAAGGCUCACCAAGGCGACGAUCUGUAGCUGGUUUGAGAGAACGACCAGCCACACUGGGACUGGGCCACGGCCAAGACUCCUACGGGAGGAAGCAGUGGGGAAUUUUGGACAAUGGGCGAAAGCCUGAUCCAGCAAUGCCGCGUGCAGGAUGAAGGCCUUCGGGUUGUAAACUGCUUUUGUACGGAGCGAAAAGGCUUCCAUUAAUACUGGGGGCUCAUGACGGUACCGUAAGAAUAAGCACCGGCUAACUACGUGCCAGCCGCCGCCGUAA
rnacentral:rRNA from 1 species